CUGUGUCUACAGGCUAAGUCUCUGUAGGUUUCUGUGUCUACAGGCUUAGUCUCUGUAGGUUUCUGUGUCUACAGGCUAAGUCUCUGGAGGUUUCUGUGUCUACAGGCUAAGUCUCUGUAGGUUUCUGUGUCUACAGGCUAAGUCUCUGUAGGUUUCUGUGUCUACAGGCUAAGUCUCUGUAGGUUUCUGUGUCUACAGGCUAAGUCUCUGUAGGUUUCUGUGUCUACAGGCUAAGUCUCUGUAGGUUUCUGUGUCUACAGGCUAAGUCUCUGUAGGUUUCUGUGUCUACAGGCUAAGUCUCUGUAGGUUUCUGUGUCUACAGGCUAAGUCUCUGUAGGUUUCUGUGUCUACAGGCUAAGUCUCUGUAGGUUUCUGUGUCUACAGGCUAAGUCUCUGUAGGUUUCUGUGUCUACAGGCUAAGUCUCUGUAGGUUUCUGUGUCUACAGGCUAAGUCUCUGUAGGUUUCUGUGUCUACAGGCUAAGUCUCUGUAGGUUUCUGUGUCUACAGGCUAAGUCUCUGUAGGUUUCUGUGUCUACAGGCUAAGUCUCUGUAGGUUUCUGUGUCUACAGGCUAAGUCUCUGUAGGUUUCUGUGUCUACAGGCUAAGUCUCUGUAGGUUUCUGUGUCUACAGGCUAAGUCUCUGUAGGUUUCUGUGUCUACAGGCUAAGUCUCUGUAGGUUUCUGUGUCUACAGGCUAAGUCUCUGUAGGUUUCUGUGUCUACAGGCUAAGUCUCUGUAGGUUUCUGUGUCUACAGGCUAAGUCUCUGUAGGUUUCUGUGUCUACAGGCUAAGUCUCUGUAGGUUUCUGUGUCUACAGUACAUGGAGUUCUUAAGAUCUUUGAGAUAUGUCCGUCCAGCAUGGCUGUGGGUCAUUCAGCGUUUAGGAGCCUUAACUCCUCUUACCUUGUUCUCAACGUGUUGUCACUUAAAGAGCAGCGCCUUCAAUUAAUACCCAUUGAUUUAGUUAAAUGUAACAUUCAAAUGUUAGUAAGAAAAGCAGUUUUUUUGUGUGCAGCCUUUCCUGUCAAAACAAUGGUCCCGCAGGACUCCUGAGAAUCCUGGAGAAUCAUUAUUUUAACUCUGUAUCUU